rnacentral:rRNA from 1 species
GAUGAACGCUGGCGGCGUGCCUAAUACAUGCAAGUCGAGCGAAUGGAUUAAGAGCUUGCUCUUAUGAAGUUAGCGGCGGACGGGUGAGUAACACGUGGGUAACCUGCCCAUAAGACUGGGAUAACUCCGGGAAACCGGGGCUAAUACCGGAUAACAUUUUGAACCGCAUGGUUCCAAAUUGACAGGCGGCUUCGGAUGUCACUUAUGUAUGGACCCGCGUCGCAUUAGCUAGCUGGUGAGGUAACGGCUCACCAAGGCAACGAUGCGUAGCCGACCUGAGAGGGUGAUCGGCCACACUGGGACUGAGACACGGACCAGACUCCUACGGGAGGCAGCAGUAGGGAAUCUUCCGCAAUGGACGAAAGUCUGACGGAGCAACGCCGCGUGAGUGAUGAAGGCUUUCGGGUCGUAAAACUCUGUUGUUAGGGAAGAACAAGUGCUAGUUGAAUAAGCUGGCACCUUGACGGUACCUAACCAGAAAGCCACGGCUAACUACGUGCCAGCCGCCGCCGUAA